AACAAGGUCUCCGUUGGUGAACCAGCGGAGGGAUCAUUACCGAGUUUACAACUCCCAAACCCCUGUGAACAUACCACUUGUUGCCUCGGCGGAUCAGCCCGCUCCCGGUAAAACGGGACGGCCCGCCAGAGGACCCCUAAACUCUGUUUCUAUAUGUAACUUCUGAGUAAAACCAUAAAUAAAUCAAAACUUUCAACAACGGAUCUCUUGGUUCUGGCAUCGAUGAAGAACGCAGCAAAAUGCGAUAAGUAAUGUGAAUUGCAGAAUUCAGUGAAUCAUCGAAUCUUUGAACGCACAUUGCGCCCGCCAGUAUUCUGGCGGGCAUGCCUGUUCGAGCGUCAUUUCAACCCUCAAGCACAGCUUGGUGUUGGGACUCGCGUUAAUUCGCGUUCCUCAAAUUGAUUGGCGGUCACGUCGAGCUUCCAUAGCGUAGUAGUAAAACCCUCGUUACUGGUAAUCGUCGCGGCCACGCCGUUAAACCCCAACUUCUGAAUGUUGACCUCGGAUCAGGUAGGAAUACCCGCUGAACUUAAGCAUAUCAAU
rnacentral:rRNA from 2 species